AGUUUGAUCAUGGCUCAGGAUGAAUGCUGGCGGCGUGCCUAAUACAUGCAAGUCGAGCGGCAGCGCGUCUAGUUUACUAGAUGGCGGCGAGCGGCGGACGGCUGAGUAACGCGUAGGAAUGUGCCCCAAAGUGAGGAAUAACUGCCCGAAAGGGUAGCUAAUGCCGCAUAUGGUCUUCGGAUUAAAGGAUUUAUCCGCUUUGGGAGCAGCCUGCGUACGAUUAGAUAGUUGGUGAGGUAAUGGCUCACCAAGUCGACGAUCGUUAGCUGGUCUGAGAGGAUGAUCAGCCAGACUGGAACUGAGACACGGUCCAGACUCCUACGGGAGGCAGCAGUAAGGAAUCUUCCACAAUGGGCGAAAGCCUGAUGGAGCAACGCCGCGUGCAGGAUGAAGGCCUUCGGGUUGUAAACUGCUUUUAUGAGUGAAGAAUAUGACGGCAACUCAUGAAUAAGCACCGGCUAACUACGUG
rnacentral:rRNA from 1 species